rnacentral:rRNA from 1 species
GCACCUACGGGGGGCAGCAGUCGGGAAUAUUGCGCAAUGGAGGAAACUCUGACGCAGUGACGCCGCGUAUAGGAAGAAGGUUUUCGGAUUGUAAACUAUUGUCGAUAGGGAAGAAAAAAGACUGUACCUAUCAAGAAAGCUCCGGCUAACUACGUGCCAGCAGCCGCGGUAAUACGUAUGGAGCAAGCGUUAUCCGGAUUUACUGGGCGUAAAGGGAGAGUAGGUGGCAGAGCAAGUCCGAAGUGAAAACCCAAAGCUCAACUAUGGGAAUGCUUUAGAAACUGCUCAGCUAGAGUGCAGGAGAG